UACGGGGGGGGCAAGCGUUGUUCGGAAUUACUGGGCGUAAAGGGCUCGUAGGCGGCCAACUAAGUCGGAUGUGAAAUCCCCAGGCUUAACUUGGGAACUGCAUCCGAUACUGGAUGGCUUGAAUCCGGGAGAGGGAUGUGGAAUUCCAGGUGUAGCGGUGAAAUGCGUAGAUAUCUGGAGGAACACCGGUGGCGAAGGCGGCAUCCUGGACCGGCAUUGACGCUGAGGCGCGAAAGCUAGGGGAGCAAACGGG
rnacentral:rRNA from 1 species